AACACUGCAGAAGUCAAAGAGAGAGAAUCGGUUGGAAACUGCAAUUUUUACAGAAAAACUCAUGUGAAAAACCUAGUCAGUUUCUCACAUUACAUGGGAACUCUGGGCAAAAUGUUAUAGUCCAUGACUAUCCUUGGCACGAUCAAAAAUUCUGUGUGGCCCCACUGUGUUAUUCGCUUUUUCCUGAGCUGUACCUUAUGAAUUAAAUUGUAUGUGCUAAAACUAUGUGGAAAUCCAUCAGACUCCUGUUUUGGGACGGAAGACUUAAUUCCUUGCCACCACUAGGCCUUUGAGUUUCUUUAGUGGAGUUGAGCGUAUUGUAAGUAUUGGGGCCAGAUUUAAAGACAACCAAUGUCCCUUUACAUUAGUAGUUUCCAAGACCUGAAAAAAAGGGCCAUUGUUGCUCCAUCACAUCUCCUGACUAAGUCCUCUGAUUACCCAAUUUAAGCAAUAUAUUUAGUUUGUAAAAUCACUGCUUAAAUUUCAAUAUAUACUAUCUAAGGAGGUAGGUUAUGGACAUUGUUUCUUUUGGUCACUCAUAGUUCUAAAUAAAAUAGAGAGAGAGAGAGAGAGAGAGAGAGAGAGAGAGAGUAAAGGACAGAUAUAAAAGAAAAUAAAUCAACACAGAAAGUGUAAACUAAAUUAAAAACUCACUUUGACAGGUCAGCUGUGCAGAGACUAUCAAGUAACUUGGAAGUUUAUGUGAAAAAUUCUUUCUGCUCCUGUAUUUUACAGCAGUGCAGGAAAGUAAAGCAAAAGAGACUCUAAAGUAACUUGUGUGAAAAA